UACGUAGGGGGCAAGCGUUAUCCGGAUUUACUGGGUGUAAAGGGAGCGUAGACGGCGAAGCAAGUCUGAAGUGAAAGGUCGGGGCUUAACCCCGGAACUGCUUUGGAAACUGUUUUGCUAGAGUGCUGGAGAGGUAAGUGGAAUUCCUAGUGUAGCGGUGAAAUGCGUAGAUAUUAGGAGGAACACCAGUGGCGAAGGCGGCUUACUGGACAGUAACUGACGUUGAGGCUCGAAAGCGUGGGGAGCAAACAGG
rnacentral:rRNA from 1 species